UACGGGGGGGAGCAAGCGUUGUUCGGAAUUACUGGGCGUAAAGGGCUCGUAGGCGGCCAACUAAGUCGGACGUGAAAUCCCUCGGCUUAACCGGGGAACUGCGUGUGAUACUGGCGGGCUUGAAUUCGGGAGAGGGAUGUGGAAUUCCAGGUGUAGCGGUGAAAUGACGUAGAUAUCUGGAGGAAUACCGGUGGCGAAGGCGGCCUUCUGGACAGUGACUGACGCUGAAACGCGAAAGCGUGGGGAGCAAACAGG
rnacentral:rRNA from 1 species